UAUCACUAAGCGGAGGAAAAGAAACUAACCAGGAUUCCCUUAGUAAUGGCGAAUGAACAGGGAAAAGCCCAGCACCGAAGCCUGUGGCCGUUUGGUCACUAGGCAAUGUGGUGUUCAGGUCAAUCCGCAGGGAGACUGCUCCACUCUAAGUCCAGCAAUGAGUACGGCAUCAUGGACGUGGCCCACAGAGGGUGAAAGGCCCGUGGGGGUGGAGAAUCGAUAAGCCAGUCUCUCUCUGGACAGACCUUGGAGUCGGGUUGUUUGAGAAUGCAGCCCAAAGUGGGUGGUAAACUCCAUCCAAGGCUAAAUACAAGCACGAGUCCGAUAGCGAACAAGUACCGUGAGGGAAAGUUGAAAAGUACUUUGAAGAGAGAGUAAACAGUGCGUGAAACCGCUCAGAGGCAAGCGGGUGGAGUUGAACUGCAAGCUCCGGGGAUUCAGCUGGUGAGCAUGGUUUGAGCUCGGUCAAAUUGGUUGAGCCGCUUGGUCCGCAGUUGCGGGUCUCUGUUCUCGGAUAGAGAUACACGACGCGCUCGUCAGGCGCUGUGUGCCAUGUGGUAUCGGACUGGCUGGCCAGUGCACUUUCCCGGAGUGGUCACCACGACUGGCAUGGCAGUCUGGCUGUUACGGUUAAACCGGUGCUGUAUUGUCCUUGUGGCUUUGCAGUGUCGGGACGGCAGGUAGCUCGUUAGUGUUCUGUAGCUUGCUGCAGAUGCUCUCGGGUGUAAUCAGCUGACCGCAAUGGUUCUGUGCUGUAUGUCAGAGACGGCGGCUAGUGGUGUGUGCGUGCAUGCCAUCUUGUAGGCAGGCUCGGGUCUGAUUGUCAUGUUGCUUACUAAAGUAGGCCUGGCAGUGGCUCGGGUUUGUUCUAUGAGUGGUUGUGUGUGUGACACUUCCCAGGGCCAAUAGUCUGUGGUGUAGUGGUAGACUAUCCACCCGGCCCGUCUUGAAACACGGACCAAGGAGAGUAACAUGUACGCGAGUCAUUGGGUGCAACGAAACCCACAGGCGCAGUGAAAGUAAAGGCCUGGCUUGUCUAGGCUGAGGUGAGAUGCUGCCGUUCCUCAUGCAUGGUACCACCGAGCAUCGAGCGGCAGUCGCAUCACCGGCCCGUCCCAUGACGUAGACACAGGUCUUCGGACCAGUGCACCGUCGGGGCGGAGCAUGAGCGUACAUGUUGAGACCCGAAAGAUGGUGAACUAUGCUUGCGCAGGUUGAAGCCAGAGGAAACUCUGGUGGAGGACCGCAGCGAUUCUGACGUGCAAAUCGAUCGUCAAACGUGAGUAUAGGGGCGAAAGACUAAUCGAACCAUCUAGUAGCUGGUUCCCUC
rnacentral:rRNA from 1 species